AUUGAACGCUGGCGGCAGGCCUAACACAUGCAAGUCGAACGAGUGGCGGACGGGUGAGUAAUGUCGGGGAAACUGCCUGAUGGAGGGGGAUAACUACUGGAAACGGUAGCUAAUACCGCAUACCAUCGGAUGUGCCCAGAUGGGAUUAGCUAGUAGGUGGGGUAAAGGCUCACCUAGGCGACGAUCCCGAGCUGGUCUGAGAGGAUGACCGGCCACCCGGGAACUGUGCCCCGGUCCAGACUCCUCCGGGAGGAAGCAGUGGGGAAUAUUGCACAAUGGGCGCAAGCCUGAUACAGCCAUGCCGCGUGUAUAAAGAAGGCCUUCGGGUUGUAAAGUACUUUCAGCGGGGAGGCGUUACCCGCAGAAGAAGCACCGGCUAACUCCGUGCCAGCAGCCGCGGUAAUAC
rnacentral:rRNA from 1 species